GGGUUUCUAGAUUGCUCGCCAUUAGGGCAUAUCCUCGAGCCGAUAAGCAAAACCAUAGGAGGUUUUGUCAUUGGAUGUUGUGCACUACCGCUAGACGGGAAGCCUUAUUCCAAUACAUAACCCCCGCCUUGAACCGUCGGGUUCAGGGUUACCCCUGAAGCGACAAUCUGGAACCCAC
rnacentral:other from 1 species